AACAAACCCUUUCGAAAUACAAAUCAAGGAGAAUUGGCGCGCUUUCCAUUACAGCAAAAAAUCGGCAAACAAAUCCACAAUUCCUUUCAGAGAAUGCUUCUGCCAAAGCGGAUAAUUCCCUGGUCGUCGAUUCCACCAUUUGUUCGGCGGCGACGGCGGCGGGCGGUGGAACUAGGGUUAAUCGAUUGUCAUAUAAUCCGCUGCGGAGACCAUACUUUCAUCCACGAUUAGCUUAUCCGGUGGUAAGAAUCGAAGUUAGUUUGUGUGUUUAUUGUCUUAUUGAAGUUUGAUUUGCUUAGAAAAAAGUAAAUUUGGGAUAAUUAUGUUGAACCUGUAAUCUGUAAGCAAAUCAUGAAUAUUCAACGGAUAAUUUGUUCUUUCUCGUUCGCCAUCAACCAGUUGACUUUUGACAGUGUGUAAACAAAAGCUUGAUCAAGUCUGUUGCUUCAUUGGUUGAAUUAUUAUGACCCUACUAUGUUUAAUUAGGUUUAAAUAAUCAAGUCAAUUUUUAAUAAUCAAGUCAAUCCCCUCCCUACAUUACUUUCUCCCAUUCAAGGCUCUCAUCAGUUUUUGUUAAACAUUUUAAAUCUUGUGAUAAUUAGCAGCUUGAAUUCUUGUCAAUUGUUUAUGUGAGAAUCUGAUGCAUGCCUAAUUGCUUCCAAAUCAGGUUACAUUUGAUUUUCUAUUUUGUUUAUGAUUCUUGAUUUUGAAUAAAGAAUGGGUUCUUAAAGUGAAUUAUGUCAUUUUUCGUGUGCAGUGCAGUAAUUGAUUGGGUCGAGGUAUAGGAAUAACAAUUUUUGUGUAAGAUUGAAUCUCUUUACUUCAUCAAUAAAGAAAGAAAAAGGAUUUCGGUUAUUCUCUACUAAGUGAGAAUUGUAGUCCAUUAUGUCGUCUGAUCUUUGUGGAUCACGCUUUCUUUUGGCUUUGCCUCAUGAAAUAUUUUCUGUAAUAACGAGUUCCCUCUCUCCGAGGGAUGUGUG
rnacentral:lncRNA from 1 species